CAGAGGAGAUUACAUGUAAAUAAGGAAAGGAGAGCGUGGAGCUUCACUGACGCCGAGAGGGAAAUCCUCCUCCACGCUGGGGUCAGAGGUCAGGGGCGCAGAGCCGCAUUCCUGGAGCUGAUAGGGAUUGAGAUUUCUCAAGGAUAGAGGCGUGCGGAGGAAGAGGACUCUCCUGGUUAAUGAUUGAGUGAUGGUCACAGUGGUGAUGGUCUGUGGUCGACUCGUGUGGUUGAAUCAGUCCUCGCCAUGCGACAAGUGUCUGAAUCUAAACAGAAGAAAAAGGUUAAAAUGGACUUAAGUGAGGAGACGUUAGAUUAGAUUAGAUUAGAUUAGAUUAGAUCAGAUUAGAUUAGAUUAGAUUAGAUUGAGACUGUAGACGAAGGACAGGAAAUGAUCCCAGAACCAUCCAGAACAUCCCCCAUCAAACUUUUUACUAUAUUAACGAUUUAAAGUUUUUCAUCUCCAACAUGUUUUGGUUUUUUAACUUCUGGAGGAAAAUUUUUACCGCAUCCGAAACAGCAUCGAUUUUCGCCGUCCGCCAAUCCCCACUGGAUCGGUCUGUGAAGCGAAUUUCGAGGCGGAUUACAGACAGCAGGAAUCGUGAGAACUCACAAGAACCUGCAGAUUCACGUUCAAUCUCACGAUAACAAGUUGUCUCUCUAAAGACAGACACAUAGACAUAUAAGCAGUAGAUGGUGUCCUUCCAGAGGAGGAAAUCUACUUCUAGACUUCUAGAAUCAGCAUCUCCUCAUCCAUGGUGUCAUCGGGGUGAAAUGACGUCUAAAAACCUUUCACUUGUUCGUCUCCGCCCGUUUGCAUGGUGUGAAAUACGAUCCUCCUGAAACACGGAGUGUUUUAUUUUGAAAAGAAGCCGGAUGUUUUAUUUUGUGUCUGUGCCCGACUUCCUUUCCAGCACGGGUUAAUCUGUGCUGAAUUUAUCCGCCAUGCUCCGGCGUCCGAUGGAAAGAAGUCGGUGUAAAUUGACACGUUAACUUGAAUGGUUACGAUCAGCUACGAUCGGAGGAUACGACCUUUUAGGAGACGAUCAGGAUGAAGGUGGAGGUCGGGGGUCAGGGUUGUUUUCAUGGUCUGGUUUUCUGCUCGGCUCUCUCCUGAUAUUUGGAGAAUCAAAAACGUUAAACAGGCUGAAGAACGAAGCGACACCUCGGUUUGACGAAUGACUGAGAGGAUCGAUUAGUUAUGAAUUCAGUUAUUGAUGAAUUCUCCGUUUAUUGAUUCGGUCAAUAAUAGUUUCUCUUGAAUCCUGAACCUUUGAGGGAAUCAGUUUUUCUGUUGAGAUAAUGAUCCUCGUCAUGAACUGAAGACCUCAGUGGUUUACCGUCUUCAGCCCCAUGAGGGAAAUCUGGGCGAUGACACCGAGAAGGUUAACCUGGAUGAGUGAAUAGAACUAGAGUGAAUAGAUGCUGACUAACAGCGUUAACUCUGCGCUCAGCUGUGGUCGACACGUUGAUUUAGAGCCUGAGAGCUGGUUCUGCAGUCAGCUGCAGCAGAACACGGCCUGCAGAGCCGUGUUUGCCCAGUCACGGUUUGCAUGUCGUUGGCAGUGUUCCCAGCAGCAGCCUCCUCCUCCUCCUCCUCCUCCUCCUCCUCCUCCUCCUCCUCCUCCUCGGUCUCGGGGAGUGGAUGGUGGACGGAGAGAGGAGCAGACAAAGCAGCAGUGUGACACAGCAGCUCUCAUGUUCCAGCCUCACUGAUUUACACGUGGAGAGACCUCCUCUCUGAACGCUGCUCCUGCUCCUCCUCCUCCUCCUCGCUCCUCCUCCUCCUCCUCGCUGCCUCUCCAUAUGCAUCAACACUCGGCGCCUGCAAAUGAGUCAGUCUGCUGUUUAGAGAUUCUCUGUUUGUUCUGGGCUGUUGGGAUGUCAGGACGGCACAGUUCUGUUGAUGCACCUGCCACUUUAGUUUGUGUUCACAUCCGUGAAGCAUAUGGCGUUUGGAUUUCGCUCGCAGCUCUUUGUUGAUGCUUUCCGUGGCGUUGGCUGUCAGCAUCAGAUAAUAAUAAACCCAUUUGAGUGCGGCGCCGUUUUUGUAAGAAUUCUCAACCUUUCCUUUUUUUUUUGUGAGGGAUGAGCUGAAGGCUAAAACUAAUCUGCGCCGUCUGAGCCGAAGGGCCGCCACCCCGCCACAACGCCAAGAAAAAGAGGCUGUUAGUGGAGAGACGGGUCGGUCUGCGAGCGGCGGCCUUGGUCUGUAAUUACGCUCACAGGUGGGCGCGUCGCUCUGAUGUCAUUGAUUUCCUGAAGCAGGUUUCUUGGUUGUAAAAGCGCUCUCUGAAAUCUUCUGAACCCCUGCGAUGUUGGCGCCGUGUUCCCGCGCUCGCCCGGCUCUCGUGUCUGAGUGAAUUCUGAGGAUGCUGUCCUUCGCCGGCGCUGAAAGCAACCUUUUGUGAAGUCCUGGUUCCCCUCAGACGUGGCGUGCCGUGCGGGACCUUGACCGAAGGCUCGGGGGCUUGUUGGUUGUUCUGGCGGUGAAAGCGCUGCACUUACUGUUUACAAAGCAUGACCCCUUUUCUUGGCGGACCUUUUAGUCGGGAUCUUGAAAUGUUUGAACCGUGAAAGCUUCCUCUCUGUGCGUGACGUGAACGUCUUCAAAAGAAAUCAAUUUAGCGUGUUGAAAAGAUGGCCUCUGGUUUCUGCAGAGGGAGGAGAUAAAACCACCAUGAGCGGUUCCUGGAUUCACUUUAGACCGCCUUUUCUGGAGCAGGAGACGAUGGGUCCUUUGGGUUCUCUGUUUGUGCUAAAAUCCAUCAGGAGGGUCCUGGUCCUGGAGAUCCAGAUGUUGAAGUGGUCAGAGUAGAUAACCUGAGCUAAAGCUGCACCAUAUUAGAAAAAAAACUAACAUUGUGAUUUUUUUCAACCCUGUGAUGUUAAAAAAUCGAUGAAUUUUCCUCCUCAGAUGACCUGAAUCUGAGUUUCUGCUGAAGUCUUGAGGACAGUUAACCUGCUCUGAUCUUCCCUCUCUUAGUGAAUGUUAGUAGACUGUCUUCUGUCUGUCUCAGAGAUAAUUUUAGUUUUUAUUGUUCUGGACGUUAUUGUGGAAACAGAUGAACACAGAACAGAUGUUUUAGUCGACAUCAUCCUUCUUAUAACUGAAAUAAUUCCAGAUAACUGAAACAAGUCUUCAUCUUCGGUGGUUUUCUCUUGUUUGUUUCUCAUUUUACAAUCGUUGUUGUUGUGCUGAGAAAGGUAUGCCCCCCUAGAAUUGCAUCCACCUCACAGAAACACCUCUUAUAUUAGGGUGGUCCACAGAAAGUAUGAUUUCAAACCCGUACAGUUCCUAUUUGUGGGAUAAACAGUGAUGAGGAAUGUUCACAAAGUCAUUCUCGGCGUUUCUCGGAACAACACCGGCAGCGUCAGCGACUCACUCCAUGUGCAGGGGCGUGGUUUCCUCCUCUCUGAUUUUGAUUGACGGCUGGCAGGGUAGCAACUGAGUAAAGAAUGAAUGUGAUUGGUGGAUCGCUGCACAGCACAUAUAGAGUCACAUAUAGUGUAUGUCAGCAACACUUGAAACUAGACGAGUUCAUUCACCUCCGACAUCGCAGGCUCUGACAUGUGACUAUCGCGCACAAAUACAUCGCCAUGACGACGAUCAAACGAUAUAUCAUGCAGCCCGUACCUGAACCUUCAUCACGUCUGCAGACGUCGGCGCCUCAUUUUGGCACAUGCUCAGUUCGUGUUUCCUGUAUUUGAUGUGUUUUUGUCGUUUGACUUCAGAGUCGGUGAGAGUUUUGGUUUGGACAGUUGGACUCGGUUCUGAUGGGAAAUCCUGUGUGUGCCGGGCGGGUGUUAGUCCAGACCUCACAGCAGGACUCCUUCGUCACUCACCGUACAUCGUGAACAACAUCAGUGCUGUCGGCUUCACCUGUUAAAGUGCUAUGGUUGGGUGGAGCUGCUGUCUGCUACCACUUUGCAGUUGGUUGAUACUUGGUUCUAAUUCAGAACAUGAUUGGUUCAGACCCGGAGACACUCCCCUUUUCAUUGGCUGUUAGUAUAGUCGACCAAAACAUGUCAGAAUGACGACUAUUGAAAAGAAUAUUGACCAUGUUUUAUAUUGAUAUUGAGGGAAAUUAAGUAUGGCUCUCUUGUCUCAGUUACAGCGUUAGUUUGUCUCACUUCCUUCAUUUAUAAAUGGACUCGUUUAUCGUCCUGCUGCUCGUCCGUCCUCCAGCUCUGAGACAGUGCAGCAGCAGAAAGUUCUCAGCUCCUCUGGUCUCCAGAAUUAGUCGUUUGCUUGUUAAAAACCUGAAAUCCGUUUAAACGUGUUUGUAAUAAGAGUAAGUCAGGGCGGUACCAUGGCAACAUGACAUCCUGCUGAGCAAAGGUGUCCGAGUCAGUCCUGACUGUGUGUGUGUGUGUGUGUGUGUGUGUGUGUGUGUGUGUGUGUGUGUGUGUGUGGACACUCCUGCAGCUGAAGUCGACUGUCGACCAGUUUUUUACUCUGCCGUGGAAACUCAGAGUGUGUCUUUCCCACACACCUGAACACGUCUGUGAACACGUCUGUGAACAUGUCUGUGAACAUCUCCACCGACGGCGUUCUUCUCUGUUCUCUGGAAUAGCGAUGGGAAUAUCAGCCCUCGUGUGAUUGGCUGGCCGUCCUGAAGUCCUUCAGCUCCGUACAGCAGGAGAACAAUCUGUCUUCUACAUAAGGCAGUCACAUAUGUUUGCUACGAACUCAGCUCUAACACACACACACACACACACACACACACACACACUCACACACACACACACACACACACACACACACACACACACACACACACACACACUCUCUCUGCUUUGAUUGGAAAUAGCUCUCUGGUAUUGUGAGUCAUACUCUGGAGCUUUUCUGCGCUACAGUCACACUGUGAGGAAAAAAGAGAACGAGGCUGAGAGAGGAGAGAGGAUCUGGAUUCAGGAGAGUCAGGAGAGUCAGGAGAGUCCGUUUCUCAGAGUCAGUAAGAGAGGAGCGGUUUCUGACCGCCGUCUGUGAACGCUCGAGUCUGGCGUCUUUGGACGAAUCAGGCGUGUUUGUAUUAGGAUGUUUAAGUGUCAGCAGACUCAUGCGUUUGUUUUUAAAAGUGACUUUAAUUUUCACUGUUUCCUCCUCAUCUUGUGAAGUCUCUGCUCGGUGUCACAUGGUUUUGGACCCCUUACAGGGUUUCACACUAACUUUGUUCACAUGUUCUCUUAAGUUGAAAAAGUAAGGAGCACAAAGAACUUUAGGGGAUCUAUGAAAACUGAUCAAUAAUGUUUGUCUUAUUGAUCGACUUUAGUACUAUUAUUUUAAAUCAAUUUUAGGUCUUUUGGUCACAUGACAGUGAAGCUAUUGAAGGAAAACAGCCUUUUCUGAGAACAUCAACCGGUAAUUUAUUGACGGUCCCUUAUUCAACACCGACGUUGACAGUGAGGGUGUCGAGUAGAUUUAACCGCGCUGCUGUUGUUAUUCCUGGUUAUGGAGAGUGAGAAGACACCGGUAGAUCCUCAGAGAAUGUCUGUCAGAUAUCCAACCUGAAACUAACUUCACCGCCGUAUUUACAGGAGAAUAUAUCCAACCUAAAACUAACUUCACCGCCGUAUUUACAGGAAAAUAUAUCCAACCUAAAACUAACUUCACCGCCGUAUUUACAGGAAAAUAUAUCCAACCUAAAACUAACUUCACCGCCGUAUUUACAGGAAAAUAUAUCCAACCUAAAACUAACUUCACCGCCGUAUUUACAGGAAAAUAUAUCCAACCUGAAACUAACUUCACCGCCGUAUUUACAGGGAAAUAUAUCCAACCUGAAACUAACUUCACCGCCGUAUUUACAGGGAAAUAUAUCCAACCUAAAACUAACUUCACCGCCGUAUUUACAGGAAAAUAUAUCCAACCUGAAACUAACUUCACCGCCGUAUUUACAGGAAAAUAUAUCCAACCUGAAACUAACUUCACCGCCGUAUUUACAGGAAAAUAUAUCCAACCUGAAACUAACUUCACCGCCGUAUCAUCCAACCUAAAACUAACUUCACCGCCGUAUUUACAGAAAAAAAUAUCCAACCUAAAACUAACUUCACCGCCGUAUUUACAGGGAAAUAUAUCCAACCUGAAACUAACU
rnacentral:lncRNA from 1 species